CAUGUCUCCCUUACGGGAAAGACGAGAAGCGUCGAUUAAGGUUCGAUUCGAGUGUAGCGAGAAAGCGUUGCCAGCGGCAACGACCCGAAGGGCGAAGGGCGAAGCGCAUAGCGCUGAGUCAUCCUUCUUCUAUCACCC
rnacentral:sRNA from 1 species